UGUAGCUCAGUGACAGAGUACUUGCCUAGCAUGCAAAAGGCCCUGGGUUCAAUCCCCAGUA
rnacentral:tRNA from 1 species